GACGAACGCUGGCGGCGUGCUUAACACAUGCAAGUCGAACGGAAAGGCCCUGCUUUUGUGGGGUGCUCGAGUGGCGAACGGGUGAGUAACACGUGAGUAACCUGCCCUUGACUUUGGGAUAACUUCAGGAAACUGGGGCUAAUACCGGAUAGGAGCUCCUGCUGCAUGGUGGGGGUUGGAAAGUUUCGGCGGUUGGGGAUGGACUCGCGGCUUAUCAGCUUGUUGGUGGGGUAGUGGCUUACCAAGGCUUUGACGGGUAGCCGGCCUGAGAGGGUGACCGGCCACGUUGGGCCUGAGAUACGGCCCAGCCUCCUACGGGACGCAGCAGUGGGGAAUAUUGCACAAUGGGCGGAAGCCUGAUGCAGCAACGCCGCGUGCGGGAUGACGGCCUUCGGGUUGUAAACCGCUUUCGCCUGUGACGAAGCGUGAGUGACGGUAAUGGGUAAAGAAGCACCGGCUAACUACGUG
rnacentral:rRNA from 1 species